UACGUAGGAGACGAGCGUUGUCCGGAGUUACUGGGCGUAAAGGGUGCGCAGGUGGCGGCGCGCGUGGGGGGUGAAAUCGCCCGGCUUAACUGGGCGGGGGCCUUCCAGACGGCGUGGCUUGAGCAGCGGAGGGGGACGUGGAAUUCCGGGUGGAGCGGUGAAAUGCGUUGAGAUCGGAAGGAACGCCCGUGGCGAAAGCGAGGUCCUGGACGCCUACUGACGCUGAGACGCGAAAGCCAGGGGAGCGAACGGG
rnacentral:rRNA from 1 species